GGGACCUUUCUGCAAUGGGAUGAUGUACACUGGGACUGUGCAGGAAGCAGGAGAGUUGGUCUUGUUGCGAUGCAUCAGUGGGGUCCACUUUUCCUUGGGGCAUGAUGGAGGAGGGAGAAGACGGUAUUACUGUUAAGUCACUGUUGAUAAGACUCUUUUUUAAUGCUUUUAUUUUUUUUUAACUUGAGUAUUUCUUAUUUAUAUUUCGAACGUUAUUCCCUUUCCCGGUUCCCGGGCCAACAUCCCCCUAACCCCUCCAGAACACAUGAAACUCAAGACGGAUGAUCAAAAUGUGAAUGCUUCACUCCUUCUUUAAAAAGGGAACAAGAAUACCCUUGGCAGGGAAUAGAGAGGCAAAGAUUAAAACAGACACAGAAGGAACACCCAUUCAGAGCCUGCCCCACAUGUGGCCCAUACAUAUACAGCCAUCCAAUUAGACAAGAUGGAUGAAGCAAAGAAGUGCAGGCCGACAGGAGCCGGAUGUAGAUCUCUCCUGAGAGACACAGCCAGAAUACAGCAAAUACAUAGGCGAAUGCCAGCAGCAAACCACUGAACUGAGAACAGGACCCCCGUUGAAGGAAUCAGAGAAAGGACUGGAAGAGCUUGAAGGGGCUUGAGACCCCAUAUGUACAACAAUGCCAAGCAACCAGAGCUUCCAGGGACUAAGCCACUACCUAAAGACUAUACAUGGACUGACCCUGGACUCUGACCUCAAAGGUAGCAAUGAAUAUCCUAGUAAGAGCACCAGUGGAAGGGGAAGCCCUUGGUCCUGCCAAGACUGAACCCCCAGUGAACGUGAUUGUUGGGGGGAGGACGGUAAUGGGGGGAGGAUGGAGAGGGGAACACCCAAUGCUUUUAUGUUUAAAAGCAAGCUUAGAUUUGGGACCAGGGUAAUUUAAUUCCCACAGCGACUGAUGUUGAAUGCUUCUAUGAUGUCACAACCCUCUUGAGCAAAGGAUGACCACUUAAACAGUUAGAUGGACAGUCCUCGUGCCAGCAAUUUAAACACUCCCUGGACACCUUGAGGAAGCUACCUGGAAAUGACAGCAGCUUGCUAACAGAGUAACGCCAGCUCCAGAAGGCACUGGAAGCCUUGUUUCAGCUUCGCCUGUUUCAGUUUGUGCUGGACUUGGCGAACUCUAGAUAACCCUGCAGACAUCUCCACCCAGGCCAGAGGACUGUCACCUCCCCAAGUGGCACAGCAGAAGGCCUGUGAUCAGUCCGCCGUUUGCAUAAAAGUCUGCCACAAUUGGCGCACACCCACUUCUCGUCUAUGUAAGUAGGUUACUCAGCUCACUUUCCCAGCCACCCUGGAGACUCUUUCCUGGGUGGCCCCCGGGUUUGUAACAUUGAGUCCAAUAAGAUUUCUCUUUUUCCUAUUUCUGAUCCUUAUCAUUACUAGAAUGGGCUGGUGACACCAAGAUCAUGGGACGGCAGCAGCUUUUAGUCAGCUGCCGGGAACUGCAGCAGCAAGGAACAACCGUGACAAGAGCAGCCAGGGGACAGCUGAGGAGUUUCAGAGAGUGGCUGGAGGAGCAGUGACAGGCAAUUAGGGUGACAGAGUCCAUGAAGGAUGUAAAGACCUGGAGGAGAAACUGCAAGGCCGGAUCAUUGGUCAUGUUCAAGGGAGCUGCCCAGGACAGGGACCAAGUGUCUUAUUCACCGUAGUUCAGUUGUCAUGUCUGAGGAGCCGCACGCUCUGGACGCUUACAGGGUGAGGCUCCGAGCAUCUGAGGCUUGUAGAAGAGCAGUAACAGAAGGCAGUGCCACCUGGUGCUUUUUCUUGCUAUGUUUCUUGCUUUUUCUUGUUGCUGAAAGCAAAAGGUCAUUACAAUAGCUGACAAGUGUCAGGGUGGUUCAAACCCAGAGCAAUAAACCUCAAGUCCAAGUAUCUAGUUUCCAAAGGUUAAAGCCACGGUUCCUCACACUCACAGCUCGGAACUGUAAGCCUCUAGGUUCACGAGUCUGGUGAACACUCCAGGGCCCAGAAUGGCCAGCACCAAAAGAACUUUUCCUCAUUCCCCCGCCCUCCCCCCAUGAUUCCUAUCUGGGUAGAAAAGGAAGCACAGCCAGCUGACAGGUAACAUGUCCGCUUACACAUACUUACAUUUCCUAAUAGGGUCUUAUCCAUGUGUUCUACAUAGCACACUCUUAGCAGAUAUCUCCGUACUCCAGGCUGGUGGAUGCCCCUAUACCCUGAAGUGGGCAGGGAGAAGACUCCCUAGUGAUGUGAGCCUCUCUUGAACCCUCUGUGGUAAAGGUAGGAGAGGGAUCUAGGGCCCCUGUCAGACACUAUCUAGAUAUGUGUCUGGGAAGAUAGAACUGAGACAGAGGGCAGCAGAAGAAUGGUUUUAGAAGAAUAGUAGUAUGUUUCAUCUCGGUCCUAAAGUCCAGAAGUCUCCAGUGGUGCCAUAGCAGGCCCAGGAUGAGGGUGUGCACCCCUCCUGCUUCCCCUUGCCUCUGGUGGCUGCUGGCAGAGCUCGGCACAUGGCCUCGGGCAGAUGGUUCCAAAUGUCCAAGAGAUCAGGUUCAAUGGCCAGCAUUUUCUCCUUGUCCAUCUUCACAAUCUGCAGCCAGAGCUCCACUAGAGAUGUUCAGCUCCAGGCUGGGCUCCUUCGCUAGGUGUCAUCCACACUCCCAGUCUCCAAGGAGGCUUCACCUUCUAUUAGCCACAUGCCCUCAUUUCGGUUCCCGCAACUGUUUCUCAUGUGGAAUAGGCUCAAUAAUCGGAAGUCUAGCGGUGGUGGGAGGACCUGGGAACGGAGCCAGAACCUUUUGCAUGGCCACUGCUCAUCACUGCCAUCCGUCUGAGCCCCAGUGAUGCUGGCUCCUCUCCCCAGUCUCCAUUGGCAUCCAGGUGUGGAAUCCCAGCUGCACGAGCGAGCGAGCGUCAUUAUCACAGUGAGAGAAUUUGCUCACCUGCCAGCUUGCUCUGCCCCUGCAGGCUCACUCCGCCCCAUGCUGGAGGAAGUGUCAGGAUCCAUCGAGCAGGGACACCUACCCAAUGGCCAGAGUUGACCGACACCAGGAGCAUCUCAAGGCAUCCCCGCUCCUCCGAAUCUCAGCAUCCAGGAUGAAGGUCAAGUGCUUACAGCAGGAGUUCACUGAUAAAUAAUUGCAAGACAGGCUGACUGCAGGAUGCUUGGGGCAGAUGUACAAGGAAGGAGAGCCUAGGAAGGGUGACGAGGGGCAACAGAGGCUGUGUGCCCGCCCCCAAGGGCUGCAAGGCAGACAAGAGCACCAACAGCAAACAGCAAGCUUGGGGUACCCGCCACCAUCCCUGGGCCACCUGGUCCCAGUUCUGUCCCCACCUGCCGCAGCUCCAACCACCAGCACGUCUUCAUCACAUGCCCUUAAUUAUUCUAUCCUCAUGACAGCCCUGGUGUCGUCAGAAUAAGGAAACUGAGGCACAGAGACGCUUCGGCAUCCAGUAAGGUCACAGCACACAAGCUGCCCGGCUCCCCAGGCUGGGGCCGCUGUCCCGCUCUGUCCCGGCCAUCGAGGGCUGCAAGGGUAGAUGACAUCUGCUUCCCUUCCCUUGCUCACCCUCCGUCUGCCUGCACAUCACCCUCCUCCUUCACAAACGAGCGUCGAAUGAACAAAUGGAUGGAUUUGUUAUCGCUCUCUGUCAAGUACUUCCGUGCCUCAUUGAAUCUGAGCCGAGCACCCUUGAAGGCCCUUCCAGCAUCUUCUCUCCCAGCAGAGCAGUCUGCUUGUGCCUUCUAAGGAGGUCUCGUGCCAGGUAUGGACAGGCUGGUGAAUGAUGGAGGUCUACUUGUCUGUAUACUCCACAAAGACUUUUUUUUUUUACAAUGAGGCUGAGGUCUCUGUGGAUAAUUCCAGCCCCAGGGCCAGCACCUAUGGCGUACCUACAGCUGUGUGCCUGUCUACCUGCCCACUCGAGGCCAGGUGCACGGAGGGGCGGAGAAGCUGGCCUCUCCACCAGCUGCUCCCGCCCCUCAGUGCUCUGGUUUCCUGGAAUCGAGGGUACCUCCUGGCAUCCUGCACCUCAGGUCUCAAGCGGCUUCCUGCUUUGUUUCUAAAGGUCCCCAGUGGGUGUGUCACAUCCCUGGUAUCACAAAAUGUCAGCAGAGGGGCUGUCCCAGGGCUGACACAGGGGUCAGGGUCAGAGCUUCUAGUGAGCUUGGGUUUCAACACUACUCCAUCUCUCUACAAUAAACUCCCCGUGGCAGGGGAUGUGGCAGCAAUCGUCUCAGAAGCUGCCACUCUUGUCUCAGUAGGUUCUUGGCACAUGGUCUGAGAUACUUGUCAGCACAGGCUUUAAAGAGCUGUUUUAAGUAAAACCAUGUUAUGAAAGCGCUCUCUCUCUCUCUCUCUCUCUCUCUCUCUCUCUCUCUCUCACACACACACACACACACACACACACACACACACACACACACACCUCAAUUAUGUGGCUCUUAAGUGUGGAUUUUGUAGAUGGUAUCAUGAGAAGACGAAGCCCCUGCUGCUGCCACUGCUGGUGCCUGACCUGUGGGAUGCUGGGUGUAGGAGGCUGUGGACAGAGGGAAGCUCCAGUCAUGGAGUCCAAGGCUGCCUCACCUUAUGACAGCCGUGCCCUGGCCAGUGGAGAACUGAGAAGGGGUUCUCUUCUUCCUGCAGUGCUGUGAGCAUUCCACCUUUUUCUUUCUUCGAGGCUGGCUACCCGGAGGCUGAGACAGAACUUUCUGGUUUUUGCCUUUGGUAGAAGUGUCUCCAAGGGGCAGCCCCGUGCAGCCCAGAUAGAAAGUGAAUGAAUAAAUUGAUGGAAGAAAAGGAGGAGGAGGAGAAGUAGUAGAGGAAGAGAGGGAAGGGGUGGGGGAAGAAGAAGAGGGGGAGGAGGAGGAAGAAGAAGGAGAGGAAGAAAAAAAGAGGAGGAACAGGAAGAGCUUUCUCUAGACAAGUUUGCUCUCAGAAAGGUCCAGGGACUGAGGAGCUUGGAGCAUACAGUCUAUCCACUAGCAGCUACACUUCUCAACUGCCCUCAGCCUCAGUUUCCUCAUCUGAAAAGUGGGGCGAAAGCUCCUGCCUCUCACGGACAUGGCAGCUUUCUUGGUGGAGGCAGAGAGAGGUGGCUUUCUUUGCAGGUUUUUUUUUUUUUUGGCAGGGUGGGGUAGGAUGAGCUUUUUGUUUGUUUGUUUUUGGGACAUGAGCUUGUCAAGUAGUCUAGACUGGCCUGGAGCUCACUAUGUGGACCAGGUCACCUUCAAACCUGAGACACCCCCCACCCCAGCCCACUCCCCCAUCUUAGCUCUCUGCUGUGGGGAGGGGGGUUAGGAAUGAGCCACCAUCUCUGCCUCCAAUGUGCUUUGUUGUUUGGUUUACUUCUGCUUCCCUGGGGUUUCCUCCGUUGGCCGUGGCAUCACAAUGAAUAAGGCCUGGCUGGACUUUUGUCUCAGACAAAAUUCAGAACAAACCAAAUUUGCCUGAAAACUCUAGCAGUUGCUGGGAGUGAGGAGAGCAGACCUGGGGAAGUGGGGCACAGGUCAGCCUUAGCAGAAAGGACAUGAGAGGCCUGAAACCUUCUUCCCUGCUCCCCCAUCCAUUUCUUGCACCCCUAGAUGUCCCUGACUUGCUUCCUGCUCCCUAUUUGCUACCUGAGAAUCUCCAGAGCCCAGGCUGUACCUGCUCUCCAGCUGCUGCCUUUUCUCUGAAAUCUGAUCCUGAGGGUUCUGGCACCCCUUUCCUACACUACCCUGCAAGCUGCUCUCUCCUGGCUCUGCUCCCACAAUCUCUGUUGGACAUGCUGUGUCUCUGGCAUAUGGUGGCCCCUUUCCCCAGGCAUCGCCAGCUCAGGUCUCUCAGCAGACACAGGGAACAGCUGGGUCCCUGGGUUUGGGGGAACCUUGCUCAUCGCUCUCUCAGCUCUCAGGUGGCUCCCUCUCAGCCUCUGGCCUCGCUGUCUAGAGAAGAGUGAGGAGCUCCUUUUGUAGAAGGAAACUGAGAGGCGGCGUGACUCAGACAUGUCGAUAGGUACCCGUUCCCAUCAGUUGGGGCUUCCCUAGACACAGUAUCACAGAAUCUAAUGCUGCAUCCAGCCUCUGGUGGAAGGAAGGCUGUGAUUAAGUAUCGAUGUCUGCCAGGCAUGGGUGCAACUGAUUAGCAGUGUCUACCAUGCAUAGGUGCAAUUGAUUAGCAGAGUCUACCAUGCAUAGGUGCAAUUGAUUAGCAGAGUCUACCAUGCAUAGGUGCAAUUGAUUAGCAGAGUCUACCAUGCAUAGGUGCAAUUGAUUAGCAGAGUCUACCAUGCAUAGGUGCAAUUGAUUAGUAGUGUCUACCAUGCAUAAUAUAAUCAAUUAGCAAUGUCUGCCAAAUGUGCAACUUCAUGAAUGCCAGAGAUUGUUGACUACUGUUUCUCAAUACUCUGCAAAUAUUCUGCUAAUUGUUAAGUGACCGUUAGAUGACGAGAGAGAGACAGACGGACAGACAGACAGACAGACAGACAGACAGACAGAGACAGAGAGAGAAACAGAGAGGCAGAUAGAUGAGUGCUAGAUCGACCUGUGAUCGGCUGGAAUGCUUGCCCAAGCUUGGAUGUGGAUCUGAGAGAGGUUAGAGCAUACCUGUGUGCAGAAACCUGAUUGCUGUACAUGACCAAGAUGUUCUCAACAGCCUGGCUUUCCUCACAGAGGAAGCUUCCCUCAGUUUCUAGCAGCACUGUCCUUCUAGCCUGAGAUGACAGAGCUCCAACAGCAAUGACAUAGACACAAUACUGCUGAAUUCUCUUUCUCGUAGAGCCGAGUUGGAAUGAGCUAGGCAGCUACUAGGCUCCACCCCCAGAUGAGAGUCUCACGUUACAUAGUGUUAUUGUACCCACUGCUUACAAUCACCUUCUAUUUAUAGGAAGAUUGGGUUUUCAAGCCACAGAAGUGAUGUGAAGAAGAAUCCUUAAAUAAGUGUAUUUAAACAAACAAACAAAAAAAGGUGAAUGUAUUUUAAAACUUUCCUGGAAAUAAUUGCAAAACUACCAUGCAUAGAUCAUUAAAAGAGAGAGCACCAAAUCCUUCCCAGACCUUGUCAGCAGUGGAAAUAAGUUGUAUUUCUGUAUGGGAGCUGAAGCAAGAGAAUCCCACAGGUUUGCCCAUUUGCCCAGGAUACACAGUCAAGAACGUGGAUGCAGGGCUCAGGUCUGACCCAUUUCUAAGAUAGAGGAGGCUGGUGACAGACAAGAUCCUGUGGCAGGAAGGGACAGGCAGGAAAACUCUUACAUAGGUUCUGAAUCCUCUCUGCACUGGCUCAUUUCUUCUUGCAAACAGGGGCCUUGCCCAAGCACCUGUUCCCAGGACAUCUGGUUGAGAGAGAUACCCACUUGGCUAGAUCUGGCCUAGCCUCUGGGACAGACCUUCUGCACCAAGGCACCUCAUAAGCUACUAGUCAGCUUGUGGUCCUGUGGUCUGAUCAGCCAGCCAGUGAGCUGUGAGCAGGAACCACGAAGGCAGGCACUGUGGGUAGGGCAUCCAUUAGUUAGGUCUGGGUCUCUGCUUCCCUGAGGAGAUAGGAUCUGAUCACCCUGGAACAGUGACAACACUGAGGCUCUGCUAGAGGAGCAGUCUAUAGAGAGCAGUUCUCUUCUCUGAGGGUGAGGUGGUACACUUAACAUGUCAUGGCUGCCAGGGCUGCUGGGCCUCGGGUCUCACAUUCCAGUGGGCUCCUUCAUGAGUUGGUGAGGUAGGCAUGAAAAGAUCCAACAGCCACUGCCAGGUAGGUAUUUGUGUCCAAACUGAGCCUAUCGUUGGGAGGCCCAGAGACAGCCCGAAAGAAAGAAAAUGGGUUAAGUGAAUCCCCUUCAUCUUCUUGAAUGGGAUGUGGAAGUCUGAGGGUUUAAGGAAGAAAAACCCCUCCCUCUAGAUAGGCAGGACAUACAGGUGAAGAUGAAGGACGUUUGAUACCUCGGUGAAGCACAGUGAACAGUGCCUGCAAAGGUGUGAGCCCAAG
ensembl:lncRNA